CCCAAGUUCUCCAUCCGAUUCUCAGCCAUGAACAACCACAAAAACCAUCCUUACUAUCCCACCGUCCAUCAACGUUAAACCCCUGCAAUCCUCAUCAUAGCAUAGAAAUUGCCUUGUGAUUUCUAUACUGGGUUUGUGAUUUCUCUAUGAGACGAUCACAAAUUGGGUCGAAAUCGAUUAUUGAUGAUGAAGGAGAGGCAAGAAAGAGUGCGCAUUUGUGCUCUUUCACGGAGAGAAAUUAGAUGGUAAUACAGGGAUUGUGCAACGAUGAUGAGAAAGAGAGUGAGAGCUGCAAUGAGAGAG
rnacentral:lncRNA from 1 species